UGGAGGGAAGCAGCGUGGGAGGCUAUUGGCUUUGCAUGGCGAGGGGAGCAUGCUGGGCGUCAGCUGCAGGCAGAUGCCGUCCCCUUAUGCUGCUGCCCCUCCGCCCCGGAACAGAUACCAACUAACACGGCCAGCCGCCGCCAACCGUCGCUCACCACCACCAGUUGCCGCCCCCAACAGACGCCAUCGCCAGCCAUGGACGCUGCCCUGCCCUCCCACUGCCAAGGCCGCCAACGCCUUGCCCUCGCCUCUGGCUGUGCACCAGCCGACGGCAGCCUCGGAGGUCCGCCUCGGGCACAGACACCUGCGUGUCCCACCCUGCAGACACCACGGCCCACCAUGGAGCACAGCCCGUCCCCGCUGCCUCCCACUGCUGACCCCGCUCCCCGCCACCCGCCGCUGCCUCUGCCGCCUCUCACAGCGCACCUGCAGACGGCGGGUUGGACUCUGCCCCCAGCCGCAGACCCCGCCGCUGAGGCGCCCCAGCCCGCAGCUCCCCGCAGCAGACUCCUCCCUACCCGAUCCCUCCCUGAGCCAACGCCGCCUGCCCCCUGGGGAUGGCUGCUUACGGACCUAAGUCACUCACAUGCUCAUACCUCAGCCAAUCCCAGGCAAGGGAGCAGACCCACGAGGCCAGAGCCCAGGGUCACCGACAGUGAAGCAGGAGGCAGGCAACUGGAGAGGCUGAGAACUGAGCAAACUUGGACUCAGUCAGGAAGACAGUGAGCGCAGUGGAAAACACCGGUCUGACAACCUCUGGCUGUCCUCAGGCCACCUGACAACACCAGCCCCAGAGGCAAACAGCCUUUCCCGUGAAAGGAGGACACCUGGAAAGAACAUGAACCAGACCCUGACAGACGGACAGGCUUCUGACCUGCAGAGAGGACUCCAGAGCCAAGCAGCACACAUGCAGCCCCGCAAAUUAGAAAACAUCUAGAAAGGAAGAAGAGAUCAGCACAACUGCAGAACUACAAGAAGUCCAAGAGAUGGGGCCUGGAAGAGGCAAAAAAUCAGACAGAAUGGAGCCACUGUGACCCUGAAGGAAUCGUGAAAUCCUACUGGAAGGAAUUUCAUUAUAGUGGUUUCUGGGUCUGUUACUGCAUCAUAUGGAUCCUGCUUUACUCAUGGGGAGACGCAUAUCCUGUUAGAAGAGAAAUCCUGCUUCCCAGGUUUGUUCUCAUUCUUGAGUCAGUUGACUUUAAUGCUGAGCAUCUAUGCUGUGAUUGUUCCUGGGGAUCUGAACAGUGCAGUUGAGGCACAGUGGACCCGGAGCAGGAAGACUUGGUAUACAGGGCCUGUCCUAGGGCUUGGACAGGUCACCUGCCACCAUGGAGACCAUCAGCAGCAAGCUUAGAUCAGGACUUUGGUUCAUGGUCAGUUCUGUCUCACAGAUGGUAAAUGACUGUGCAAGUUAAUGUCAGCAACCCAACCCCACUGCUCUGGACUGGACUGUAUCCCCCCAAUUCAUAUGUUGAAGCCUUAACCCCCAGUGUGACUAUAAUUGGAGUUUGGCCCUACAGGGGGGGUCCUUAUGGUUAAAUGAGGUCAUAAGCAUGGAGCCUCAUCCAAUAAAACUGAUGUCUUUCUAAGAAGAGGAAGAUAAAUUAGAGAUCUCUCUCUACAUACAUGCACAGAGAAAAGGGCAUGUGAAGACACAAUGAGAAGGCAGCCACUUACAAGCCCAGAAGAGAG